UACGAGGGGGGCUAGUGUUGUUCGGAAUCACUGGGCGUAAAGGGAGCGUAGGCGGGCGUUUAAGUUAGGUGUUUAAUCCCGGGGCCCAACCCCGGACCGGCACCUAAAACUGGACGUCUUGAAUAGUGGAGAGGUCGGUGGAAUUGGAGGUGUAGCGGUGGAAUGCGUAGAGAUCUCCAAGAACACCCGUUGCGAAGGCGGCCGACUGGACACAUAUUGACGCUGAGGCUCGGAAAGCAUGGGGAGCAAACAGGG
rnacentral:rRNA from 1 species